rnacentral:rRNA from 1 species
GUGUCAGCCGCCGCGGUAAGACGAAGGUUGCGAGCGUUGUUCGGAAUCACUGGGCUUAAAGCGCAUGUAGGCGGACAGGUAAGCGUUUUGUGAAAUACCUCGGCUUAACCGGGGAAUUGCUUGACGAACUACCUGUCUUGAGGCAAGCAGGGGUGCAUGGAACUCUUGGUGGAGCGGUGGAAUGCGUAGAUAUCAAGAGGAACGCCAGCGGUGAAAACGGUGCACUGGGCUUGUUCUGACGCUGAGAUGCGAAAGCGUGGGGAGCAAACGGGAUUAGAAACCCCAGUAGUCC